rnacentral:rRNA from 1 species
UACAGAGGUCCCGAGCGUUGUUCGGAUUCAUUGGGCGUAAAGGGUGCGUAGGCUGCGGGGCAAGUCUGAUGUGAAAUCCCGGGGCUCAACCCCGGAACUGCAUUGGAUACUGCCUUGCUCGAGUACUGGAGAGGGAACUGGAAUUUACGGUGUAGCAGUGAAAUGCGUAGAGAUCGUAAGGAAGGCCAGUGGCGAAGGCGAGUUCCUGGACAGUUACUGACGCUGAGGCACGAAGGCCAGGGGAGCAAACGGG